rnacentral:rRNA from 1 species
AACGUAGGGGGCCAGCGUUGCUCGGAAUGACUGGGCGUAAAGGGUCCGUAGGCGGUGCGGUAAGUCGGAAGUGAAAUCCCGGGGCUCAACUCCGGGGCGGCUCCCGAAACUGCUGCGCUUGAGUGCGGGAGAGGGGAGUGGAAUUGCCGGUGUAGCGGUGAAAUGCGUAGAUAUCGGCAGGAACACCGGAGGCGAAGGCGGCUCUCUGGACCGCAACUGACGCUGAGGGACGAAAGCUGGGGGAGCAAACAGG